rnacentral:rRNA from 1 species
GACGAACGCUGGCGGCGUGCUUAACACAUGCAAGUCGAACGGAAAGGCCCUGCUUGCAGGGUACUCGAGUGGCGAACGGGUGAGUAACACGUGGGUGAUCUGCCCUGCACUUCGGGAUAAGCCUGGGAAACUGGGUCUAAUACCGGAUAGGAGCCAUUUUUAGUGUGAUGGUUGGAAAGUUUUUUCGGUGUAGGAUGAGCUCGCGGCCUAUCAGCUUGUUGGUGGGGUAAUGGCCUACCAAGGCGGCGACGGGUAGCCGGCCUGAGAGGGUGGACGGCCACAUUGGGACUGAGAUACGGCACAGACGGCUACGGGAGGCAGCAGUGGGGAAUAUUGCACAAGGGGCGCAAGCCUGAUGCAGAGACGCCGCGGGGGGGAUGACGGCCUUCGGGUUGUAAACUCCUUUCGCUAGGGACGAAGCUUUUUGUGACGGUACCUAGAUAAGAAGCACCGGCUAACUACGUG